GGAAGGGGAGCCCCGCGGGGCGCUAUUCCCUGCACGGGCCACCACCGGGAUGCUCCUUUGUUCUGUCUUCCCUCCCGGCAUCUCACUGAUAAAUAACUAAACGUCAUUAGGCAGAGAACCCUUCCUUGCUUGGGAACGUUGGAGAAGAAGUGGAGGAGGUCUGGCCUCCUGGACUGCACGAGUUCAGGGGAUGAUGGGUGAGGAGCUGGAGAGAGCAGAAUCGUACAGAAUCACAAAAUCAGUUCGGUUGGAAAAGAUCUCUGAGAUCAUCAAGUCCUGUCUUUGGCCAAACACUACCAUGUGACACUAAGUGCCAUGUCCAGUCUUUCUCAAACACCUCCAGGGACAGUGACUCCACAGCAGCAGCUCCUCACAUGCCUUCCUUUGAAGUGGUCCCAGCAUCCUGAUUUUCUGUGCACAUUGCAAAGUCCUCCCUUUCAGCAAAUGAUGGAAUAAAUUUAGAUUCCUUGUGUUA